ACCAUGUGAUCCCAGGAAGAGAGGAUACAUAAGGCCAUCGCCCUCGGUCGUUUGUCUUUCUUCAAAUUUACUUUGUAAAUGAGAUGUGCCAGCCCAUACAUGGAAUGAAGAGAGCCCGCUCAGUGCACAGAUGGCAGUGACAGUGUUGGAAGAAUAGAAGGCCACGGCCUGGUUGAUAAUAAACACUUGGGAAGACAUAUCA